rnacentral:misc_RNA from 1 species
GAAAUGCGAUAAGUAAUGUGAAUUGCAGAAUUCAGUGAACCAUCGAACCUUUGAACGCACAUUGCGCUCCUUGGUAUUCCUUGGAGCAUGCCUGUUUGAGUAUCAUGAAAUCUUCAAAGUAAAUCUUUUGUUAACUCAAUUGGUUUCUACUUUGGUAUUGGAGGUCUUUGCAGCUUCACACCUGCUCCUCUUUGUUCAUUAGCUGGAUCUCAGUGUUAUGCUUGGUUCCACUCGGCGUGAUAAGUUAUCUAUCGCUGAGGACACUGUAAAAGGUGGCCAAGGUAAAUGCAGAUGAACCGCUUCUAAUAGUCCAUUGACUUGGACAAUACUUUUAUGAUCUGAUCUCAAAUCAGGUAGGACUACCCGCUGAACUUAAGC